rnacentral:rRNA from 1 species
UGCCAGCCGCCGCGGUAAUACGGAGGGUGCAAGCGUUGUCCGGAUUUACUGGGCGUAAAGGGUGUGUAGGCGGCAUGGUAAGUCUCAUGUGAAAUCUCCCGGCUUAACUGGGAGGGGUCAUGGGAAACUGCCAAGCUAGAAGGCAGUAGAGGAGAGCGGAAUUCCGGGAGUAGUGGUGAAAUGCGUAGAUACCCGGAGGAACACCCGUGGCGAAGGCGGCUCUCUGGGCUGUCCUUGACGCUGAGGUGCGAAGGUGUGGGGAGCAAACAGGAUUAGAUA